AUUCCUGUCACUUUCCUCUUCCCAGUCCCCACCCAAGGGGCCUGGUGCUGCCCUGGCUGCCCCCAAACCUGGAGGGAAGCCAUCUGAUGCUCUGGCUCUCUGGAGCAUGAAGGGCUCACGAGUCUCUCUGCCCCAGCCACGCGCAGGAAGCUGUUUGAACUCGCCCGAGCCUUCUCGGAGAAGACCAAAAUGAGGAAGUCAAAGAAGAAACAUUUACCGAAGCUUCAGUCGCUGGGGGCUGCUGCAUCCACGGCCAACCUCCUGGAUGACGUGGAGGGCCAUGCUUAUGAGGAAGACUUCCGGGGAAGGCGGCAGGAGGAGCCUAAGGUGGAAGAGACCCUAAGAGAAGGACAGUAAGAGGUGCCCGAAGCUUCACCUUGCCAGAGAUGCUCUGACUGGGUGGAGGCAACCAGAGAGCAGCACCGGUGCCCUCCAGCUGCAGCCUAGACGGAUGGUGCUUGCACACCAAGGCUCAGGCUUCUUCAGCCACAGUCCAGCCUAGCCACUGCCGCUUUCCACAGGACUUAGAAUUUUCGGAAGCUGCUCGUGAUUGGAGGAGGGGCCUGGAGCCUUCGAGACAGCAGCCAGCCAGCCACAGCCCCAUUUGUAGUCUGGCUCCUCUAUAGGGGUUCGUGCACAGAAAUGCAGGAACUACCCCUCCUUCCCCUCCCCCCCCAAAAGAAAAGAAAAGAAAGAAAGAAAAAGAGAAAAGAAAGAAAGAGAAGAAAGAUCCCAUGCGGAGGCUCUU
rnacentral:lncRNA from 1 species